CCUGCUGCCUCAGCACGUGGAGCUGGUCGGGAUUCCCACCAUGGCCUGGGCCCCGCUCCUUCUCGCUCUGCUCACAUACUGCUCAGGUUUGUUUGCCCAGAACGUGGUGACGCAGCCACCCGCAGUGUCUGUGUCUCCAGGACAAACUGCUCGGCUCACCUGCUCUGGGCCUGGCAGCUACAUGCAGUGUGGGAAGGAUGUGCACUGGUACCAGAAGAAACCGGGCAGUGCACCCCUACUCAUUAUAUAUAAUGAGAGCAAGAGACCCUCCAGCAUCCCUGACCAAUUCUCUGGUGCCAACUCCGGAAACACAGCCACGUUGACCAUCACUGGAGUCCAAGCCCAGAAUGAGGCUGACUAUUACUGCCAGGUGUGA